rnacentral:sRNA from 1 species
UAGUACUAGAUUGCGUUUGAAAACACGAA